rnacentral:rRNA from 1 species
AGCGAACGCUGGCGGCAUGCUUACCACAUGCAAGUCGCACGAGGGUUUCGGCCCUAGUGGCGGACGGGUGAGUAACGCGUAGGAAUCUAUCCAUGGGUGGGGGAUAACACUGGGAAACUGGUGCUAAUACCGCAUGAUACCUGAGGGUCAAAGGCGCAGGUCGCCUGUGGAGGAGCCUGCGUUCGAUUAGCUAGUUGGUGGGGUAAAGGCCUACCAAGGCGAUGAUCGAUAGCUGGUUUGAGAGGAUGAACAGCCAAACUGGGACUGAGACACGGCCCAGACUCCUACGGGAGGCAGCAGUGGGGAAUAUUGGACAAUGGGGGCAACCCUGAUCCAGCAAUGCCGCGUGUGUGAAGAAGGUCUUCGGAUUGUAAAGCACUUUCGACGGGGACGAUGAUGACGGUACCCGUAGAAGAAGCCCCGGCUAACUUCGUGCCAGCCGCCGCGGUAA